AGCCAACCCUAGAAUCGCUCGUUUCCUGUCCCUCCUCCUGUGUGCGGCGCCGCCGCUGCGCACAGGCCACAUCUCCUCGCCCUCCUCCACAUCUCCGGCCAAAGCGCUCACUUCUCGGGCCCUCCUCCACAUCUCCUCGCCUCCACCCCAUCCACUUCCUGUCCAAGACUGUGGCAACGGAGCUCGGCGGUUGCGGCCCUUCUCCAAGACUGCAGCGUGGUGCUCGGCGGCUGCGGCAACGGAGCUGAUGGAGCGCGAGCCGACCAGUUCAAUGGAGGCGGUAGCACGGGGCAGCGGCAGCAGCAUGGAGGGCGUCCGCUUGACUGGAAAGAGAAAGUAUUUGUUGAUAGUGAGAGUGAGGAUAAUGAUGGGGUGAGUGAGGAUGGGGAAGAUGCUCCAUCCAUGCAUGAUCAGCAAGAGGCGCAAAUGCAAGUGGAAAAAGAGACACAAAUUCAAGUGGAAAAGGACGCACCACCAACAGACGGCAAUUUGGAGACCCGUAGAUCUGUACGGCUUGUCAAGAAGAAGACCAAGGGCGUCAACAGCCUAUACCCGCUGCUUAGAAAUCUGCUGGCAAGUAUCUUCUUUCUAGUGUUUUAUGAUUCAUGAUAAUUGCUUAGAAAAUUUUAGUUACUUGGAGCUGCUAGUUUCUUAGAUGUAUAAACUUUCUAUCCAUGCCUAGCCUUCGUUGUCAUGUUAAGCAAUGUAUUUAUGUUGUCCUGAAAUGUUACCACUUGACUAUUGUUGCACUAGACACCUCCCUGUUAGUCCAUUUUGUUUCAUUAUGCACAAAGUGGAAGAAGAAAAUUCUGAUGUUGAACUACAUCUAUCCUGAUCCUUUCUUUGUUUUCUCUAUAUGAACUAGAAAUGCCACAUGAAGAACUAAGGAUAUCAAGAAGCUUUUGGAUGUAUGCAAGCUUGGAGCUGCUGUUUUAUAGAAAUGACACUUGAAGAAUAACCAAGGAUAUCAAGAAGCUUUUGGAUGUAGGCAAGCUUGGAGCUGCUGUUUCAAUGUCAUGCUUUGAUAGUUGUCUUUUGGAGCUGUUGUUUCUAUGUGUAAUACUUUAAGUCUAUUGGCUGUACCGAACUAUUUAAACUCUGAACUAUGCUGUGAUGGUUGAACUGAUGUUGGACUGUUAAGGGUUAUGUUGGAGGCCACUUUAUAACUAAUGUGUGCCUGUUAUGUUGGACAGAUGCAGUUUUAUUAAUCCUUUGAGCUUAUUUGCUGAAA